rnacentral:rRNA from 1 species
CAGUCGCCGCGGUAAUACGAAGGGUGCAAGCGUUAAUCGGAAUUACUGGGCGUAAAGCGUGCGUAGGCGGUUUGUUAAGUCUGCUGUGAAAUCCCCGGGCUCAACCUGGGAAUGGCAGUGGAUACUGGCAAGCUAGAGUGUGUCAGAGGAUGGUGGAAUUUCCGGUGUAGCAGUGAAAUGCGUAGAGAUCGGAAGGAACAUCUGUGGCGAAGGCGACUAUCUGGGCCAACACUGACACUGAGGCACGAAAGCGUGGGGAGCAAACAGGAUUAGAUACCCGUGUAGUCCCUGUCUCUUAUAC